CGCCCCGCGUCGCAGAGACGGCCCCGCCCCCGUCACGGAGGGCACCUGGCCGCACGCCUUGCUACCCUCCCGGCUUGCAAGAGGGGGCGAGCCAGGCCUCCUGUAACCUGAGCGUGACUAUGAGGGGACGACGUGGGAACCAGGCCUUCUCCCUAGGAGAGGGAAAAGGAACCAGAGUCCCCGCCAUCUUUUUGGUUGGAGAGAAAAAGAGUCGUGUCCCAGCUGAGAUGGAGGCGAAGGAAACCAACCUCACUCCCUUUGGAAGAAUAAGAGGUGUCAGCCUCCCUACCCAGAGGGUUGUCUACACUGGUGAACAGAAUGGAGAAUUCAGAAAAACUCAUGAUGAUAGAACUGGAAGCAUUGAAUCUUUGCAACAGCACCCUGAAAUAGAUCUCCCCCACCCACCGUCUCCUUUAACAAAUGAGAACACAGAGACUCAAAAGGAUUAAGUGACUUGGCUGAGGUCUCAGAGCAAAGGGGAUGACAAAGGAAGCAAAGUAAAAGCUGAGUAUCUAGACAAAGAUUCCAAAACCAGCAGAGGCAUUGUGAUGACAUAAAAAGAGCACUAGCAAAAGGUAGGACACCCAUGCUCUAGUCUCUGCUCUGUCCCCUCCUGGCUAUGUGACCUUAGGAAAGAUCUUCUUUUCCUCCAGGUUCAGCUUCUCCAUCUGCAAAAUGAGGGAAUUACACAGGAUGAUCUUUAAGAUCUCUUCCAGCUCUGAGAGGCUACAAUUACAGAUGGCAUCCCAAUAUGGGCCCCGAAUCGUGCCCUCCCACUCAGCAUGGACCAUCUCCCUCCUGCUCGCUGGAGGCAGCAUCUCUCAUGCUGACCUACUUUGUGUGUGAGGGAGAGGAGGGCAGAGUGGGACACUAAGGAGGGAGCGAGAAACCAAAGGUUCGCCCUCCUGAGAGAUCCAGGCUCCUUGCCAGCCCCUAAGGGUUCAGGCGGUGCCCAUCCACCUCCUUCUGACACCUCUCCCCCCUGCUCCUCAGAAUGCAGCAGGCUGAAAAAACUGAGCAGAGUGGCUGUAUUGUCUUAAUGCAUUGCUUGUAUUUUUCAUUCAUGUUGGUAAUUUCACCAGGAUAUUUCUUUCUCCGACUUUCCAAACAUGCUUCAUUAAAGUCAUUCUUGCAGACGCUGCAGGAUGUUUUAUUAAAUGAAAAAGUGAGGUGCAGAACUGUGUGUAUGGAGUGAGAAAAAAUAAUUUAAACAUACCCUUGUGUUUAUGAAGAGAGAAAGAAUAAAUAUCUUAGAAAGGAAACA
rnacentral:lncRNA from 13 species